rnacentral:lncRNA from 1 species
CCCGUCCUGUCCUGUUUCAUUUAAACACCCUCUCCUGAGAGGGAGCUUGGACUCCUCGUUUCCCGUCAAGUUCCUCCAGCUGGUGACGCAGGAGGAGCCAGGACCCUCCUCUCUAAAACAAGGUUCCCCCACAGCCCGGGCGGGACCCCUGGGCGCCCAGCGGCCUGAUCCCUGCCUGCCCUGGGGGUUGUAUUUCUCUCCAUCUGGCUGACUGCACCAGAACUUUCUUUUCUUCUCUUGAUGGUGCCUCAUGUUAAGUCUGUUGCCUUGACAUUUAGAUUUAUACAGAUAAUGUGCGCAUGAGAGAGUCUAGAAGCUUCUGGAAGCCUGAGGAGGCCCAGAGCACUUCCCAGAGAUGGGGAACUGAGGCUCAGAGACAUCAAGCAACUGGCCCAGUGCCACACAGCUAGUGAGCUGCAGAACCAGGAUUUAAGCCAUGUCUGACCCCCAGACUUCCCACAGACAAAUCGAUUUCCUCAAUUGACUCCAUCAGAUCUGGCCCUGUGGUCCCCACCCUCCUGGACAUGACCCUGGUCCCUGGGUUUCAGGGGCAUGAAGACUCAGUGGGAUGUUGCCUCCUCCAAGAAGCCUCCGGGAUCUUCCGGGCUCAAUCUUGUGUCCUGCUCUGGGCUCCUGACCCCGUGCUCACCCAGAGCCUGGAGCACCGACUGUGUGUAGUUAGGGUGUCUGUCUGUGUGUCUGCCUCCCCACUGGACUGCGAGAUUCCCGAGGGCCAGGCUGUCACCGGAAGUCCUGCACGCCGCCUGGGCCUGCCCAGGGCCCACGAUG